AUUGAACGCUAGCGGGAUGCUUUACACAUGCAAGUCGGACGAGUGGCGGACGGGUGAGGAAUAUAUCGGAACGUGCCCCGUAGCGGGGGGUAACUACUCGAAAGAGUGGAUAAUACCGCAUACUGUUGGUGCGGCCGUGGUGGGAUUAGCUAGUGGGUGGGUUAAAGGCUCACCAAGGCAACGAUCCGUAGCUGGUUUGAGAGGACGACCACCCACACUGGGACGGAGACACGGCCCAGAUCCCUACGGGAGGCAGCAGUGGGGAAUUUUGGACAAUGGGGGAAACCCUGACCCAGCCAUCCGGCGUGUAUGAGAAGGCCUUCGGGUUGUAAAGUACUUUUGGCAGAGAAGCGGUAUCUGCAGAAUAAGCACCGGCUAACUACGUGCCAGCAGCCGCGGUAAUAC
rnacentral:rRNA from 1 species